rnacentral:rRNA from 1 species
GAUGAACGCUAGCUACAGGCUUAACACAUGCAAGUCGAGGGGAAACGAUAUUGGAAGCUUGCUUCUGAUAGGCGUCGACCGGCGCACGGGUGAGUAACGCGUAUCCAACCUGCCCAUCACUUGGGGAUAACCUUGCGAAAGUAAGACUAAUACCCAAUGACGUCUCUAGAAGACAUCUGAAAGAGAUUAAAGAUUUAUCGGUGAUGGAUGGGGAUGCGUCUGAUUAGCUUGUUGGCGGGGUAACGGCCCACCAAGGCGACGAUCAGUAGGGGUUCUGAGAGGAAGGUCCCCCACAUUGGAACUGAGACACGGUCCAAACUCCUACGGGAGGCAGCAGUGAGGAAUAUUGGUCAAUGGACGAGAGUCUGAACCAGCCAAGUAGCGUGAAGGAUGAAGGUCCUACGGAUUGUAAACUUCUUUUAUAAGGGAAUAAACCCUCCACGUGUGGGAGCUUGUAUGUACCUUAUGAAUAAGCAUCGGCUAACUCCGUGCCAGCAGCCGACGG